rnacentral:rRNA from 1 species
UACGUAGGGGGCUAGCGUUGUCCGGAUUUAUUGGGCGUAAAGAGCGUGUAGGCGGCCAGGUAGGUCUGCUGUGAAAACUCGAGGCUCAACCUCGAGACGUCGGCGGAAACCAUCUGGCUAGAGUCCGGAAGAGGAGAGUGGAAUUCCGUGGUGUAGCGGUGAAAUGCGCAGAUAUCAGGAAGAACACCCGUGGCGAAGGCGGUUCUCUGGGACGGUACUGACGCUGAGACGCGAAAGCGUGGGGAGCGAACAGG